GUUGGUAAAAGAAAGGAAAAACAAAGAGAGAGAGAAAAUUUUUCUCCCAUCAUCCAAUAUUUGCAGAAAAAAUAUAGAAACUCAAAAUUAGGAGGGGGAUUUCCUUUCUUUCAAUAUUGAUUUUGGCACACUCUGCCCGUCUCUUCGGAGCAUUUCCCCGCUCUGUGUUUCUUUCUCUGCCUAAUUUUCAAUCUCUAUAUCAUAGAUAUCCAACAAACUCGUGUUCCGAUUCAAGUUCUAAUAUAUGUUUACAUAUAUAUGUUUGUAUGUAUGUAUUUGUUCGAAGCACCUUUGAAAGAAGAACGAGCAUACUAAGGAGGAAGAAGAUGGAGCAGCGCUUUGCCUCCUUCUGCUGAUUCAUGGCCUCUUCUCAGCAUCGCUGCGUUUUUGUUGGGAAUAUACCAUAUGAUGCCACUGAGGAACAGCUUAUAGAAAUCUGCCAGGAGGUUGGUCCUGUUGUGUCUUUCAGAUUAGUUAUUGAUAGAGAAACUGGGAAACCAAAAGGUUAUGGGUUCUGUGAGUAUAAGGAUGAAGAGACGGCUCUAAGUGCUCGUCGUAAUCUUCAGGGUUAUGAGAUCAAUGGCCGACAAUUACGGGUUGAUUUUGCUGAAAACGAUAAAGGCUCUGACAGAAAUCGAGAACAGGGUCGUGGGGGACCCGGACUUGCUGCUAAUGUUGAUCCUCAAAAACAGUUAGCCAGCUCAGUGGCCCAUGGAGAAUCUGUUCACCAUCAGCCAAUUGGUCUCCAUAUAGCUAUAACUGCGGCAACUGUCAUGGCAGGAGCUUUAGGUGGUGCUCAGGCUGGUAUACAGUCAGCAUUGGCCAAUGAUCCCUUAACUCUUCGUCUGGCCAAAAUGUCUAGGAGUCAGCUGAACGGAAUAAUAUCUGAGCUGAAAUUAAUGGCUACACAAAACAAGGAGCUAGCUCGCCAGCUAUUGAUUGCAAGACCACAGUUGCCAAAAGCUCUUUUUCAGGCACAGAUAAUGCUAGGAAUGGUGACCCCCCAAGUGUUGCAAAUGCCAAAUAUUAGGCAGACUUCAGGUCUAGCCACGCAGCCUCCAUUGCAUGAUGGCCAGCAGGGUCAGCCUGUAGCUGUUCAAACUCUUCCUCGGCCACCUGCUUCUGCACAGAACAAGAUGCAGUCUGGGUUGAUGACCAAAGUGCAAGAUAAUCAAGUUGCUGCACUGCCUCAAAAUCCUGUAGUUCUCCAUCAAUUUUCUGCACUCCCACAACAUGCAAACAACCAUGGUGCACAGCAGGCCACAGUUCCUCUGCAGUCUGCAGUUUCAACUCUUACUGCUGCAUUACCCCAAUCUUUGGGCAGUUUGUCCUCUAGAUCACAAGUACAGGCAGCAAAUUCCUCUUCUCCAAACCAUCAAAUGCAGCCCUCUUUGCUACAACACUCUGGACAGGUCGGGGCAGCCAAUGCAGCCCUCUUUCAGAUGGCUAAUCCAAAUACUACCAUAAAGCCUUCUCUUCUACCUCGUCCUCCUUUGUCGGAUGCAGGCUUUCAGCCUGGCCCUUCGGUAUCAUCAGUUACUUCACUGGCAAUUAAGAAGGAUGCUGAAAUACUUGCUCAAGUUCCUGACAAUGGAACUCAGGGCCUCAGAAGUAAUGCAUUUUCUAAUGCACCUUCAGGGAGCAUGUUUGGAGAUUCUUUAGAACCAGUUAAUCGCCCUCAAAAGCUGAUGAAAAUGGAUGAUGGAAGGAGAACAUCUUUCUCAGCCGGAAGUUUGAAUGUGACCAACACCAAUGGACCUGGACCAUCCCAAGUUAGUGGAGCUGGCUCAUUGCCUGUUAACCCAGUUCCAAAAGCAGAAGGGCAAAUUUCUCAGUCACAGCUUCCACCUGAUGUGGAGUCUGUCUUACUGCAACAAGUGUUGAACCUAACACCAGAGCAAUUGAGUUUAUUGCCUCCAGAACAGCAACAACAGGUUCUUCAACUCCAACAGGUUCUUCGGCGAGAUCAAAUUCAGCUAUCUUAGGAGAGGGAGUGACACAUUGUCGGAUCAUAAAUUCAGCGUUGGCACUUGGGAGUGCAGGCGCAAUUCUUUUACUUGUGAAGGACGAGCUAUCUAUUGAUUCAAUGAAAUUGUGAUUGCCUUCGAAAUUAUUGCUCUGGGGUGAUCCGGCAUACGAUCUGAAAUCUUUGUAGCUGUGCUAAGACAAGCAUGGCUCUCACCACCAUCAGCCAUGUCCAUUAGCCGCAGUCUGCGGCAAUGGAGACGAAAAUGGAGCAAAUAUAAUUGAUGGUUAGGACAGAUUACCCUAAUAUUGCAUUCAUGAAUCAGUGUCAUUUGCUGUUCUCAUUUUGUUGACGAUCUUCAUCACUUCAUGAAAGAAGAUAACUUCCCCGGCGGAAAGAAGAUAACUUCCCCCCGCGCCGAUU